CGUAAGAAAAUUAUUUGAAUGCUUUAAUGCUGAUGCUUUGGAAAUAUAAACAAGACACAACACUUCAUUUUAUUUAAUAAUUGUUAUGAUAACUAGAUUUAGCAAUUCUGGUUCUGAUUUUAACUAAGAAAAGAUUGGGAGUUAAUUAUCACUUACUUCUUCCCUUUUCCUUUUCACGCUAAGCAGCUUUAACCCCUUUCUCAUUCUCUCUGCAUUUCACCGACUCAUAAACAAAGCAAGCACACUCACAUGCACGGAGAAGAAAUCUAAGAAAGAGAGGCAGCGUCGAUGAAAGAGGAAGACGCGCUAGAACUGGUAGGUCGCGUUGCUGCUGUCGCCGCGCUCUACCCAGCCAUCGUCGCCGUUCUGUGGGGCCGCCACCAUCCCUGAGCUUGCCACCGUUGCCCUUGUUGCCGAGCAAAAGGGAAAAAAAGCCACGCGGCAGAAGAGAGAAGGAGGGAAGCUCACCGCGUCACAGUCGUCGCUCCCACCAUGUCGCGCCGCCGCAGGUCCACCUUGGAGCCUCCGUCGAAGCAGAGCCGCGAAGAGAGACGAGUUCGCGUAGGGAAGAGAGAAAUGCGUCCGAGAGAGAGAACGAGCACGAGAGGAAGGAGACAGCCGUUCUCAUCACUGCUAGAGGUUCCACCGCCGUUGUUGGUGCCAACCGAAGUCAACGCCGCCUUUGCAAGCUUUUUCCCAGCUGUUUUGGUUCUGGUCCUGCUGCAACUCGCCAAUGUUCCUACUAAUUUCUGACAUCUGUUCAGCCUUUGCCAGAGCUCGCCGUCGCCGGAGAAACACUUCCGAAACUUCUCAGAUCCGCUGUACCAUUCUUGUUGCGCUCUGAUCGAUUUGAAUCCACCGCUUUUCUUGGUGUUGUGGUCAUUGUCGUUAUAACGGGGAGUUCAUGUUGUUGCUACUGUUGCAGUUCCAGUUGCUGCAGUUUCAAUUUCUGAGUUUCAAUACUAAGUUUUACCUUUUCAGGAACUAGAUGAAGAGGCAUUAAGAAGAGUUAUACUGCGUUU